rnacentral:lncRNA from 1 species
ACCGCCCUCGCUCCAGCUGUUACCUGGCACAUCCUCCGUGCCCUCCAACAGCAUAUCCUUCGUGAAGUUCGAAAUCUGGCCAGUGAGGGAAGCCAGGCUGCCCCCUACUUGACCGAGAGACUGGCCCAAGCCGGAGCCGAGGCCCCCGAGCCAGGACGACAUCGCUGCGGGUGGACACGUCCUCUCCAAAUGUCCCUGGACGCCGAAGCUGGUGCGGAUCCAGACGCUGAGGACUCGCAGGACACGGCACUCCCACCAACGGCCGCGUCAGAAAGCCGAGGCCCGGCCUGACGCUUCACCAAGGGUUCGCCGUUGUGGACACCGUGGGCCCCGCGAGGCCUCUGCUCAUUCCCACGGCUUCCCGCCGUGCGGCUGCACUACUUCUUUCUCAGCUUUACUGACUUUCCUCAGUUUCGUGGGCCAGUCCUGCCAACUCAACGCCGGCCGCCAUGACACUGCCGGGAAAGCGGCAGUGACCAUAGAGAAGCUUCGCGAUAGCGUAGAAGGGCCGCUGCCAGAGGCGUCCCGGGCGCGAAGGACCGUGGGAUCGCGGAGGACCAAGUAAAUGGGCCAGCCAGAUCCGUGACUUCCGCGUAACCUGCGGAACUUUAGGUGGAGACCGAAAAGGCAGUGGCGGCGGCGGUGGCUCUUCCCACCUGCGCAGCUGCUUUUGUUUGUAAGAGGAAGUAACCCUUGACAGUGCCUUCUGAUCCUGUCUACAAGAGCUAUUGCAUCGCUAGGAUUCGAUAGGGUCGUCCCACCCCACAGGGAAGCAACCUCAAUCCAUCUGCAUUACUCUAUUAUCCAGCGUCUGCGGAUAUAAGAGCAUCCGUGCCAGAGGGUUGGAAACGAGGCUACAAAGCUGAAAAAGCGGGUUGCAAUUCAAAUGUCCAGGCAGAAAACCCUUGUUUUGGUGUUUGUUUUCAGUUACCAUGCACUUAAAGGAUUGUGGGAUCCCAUGACCGCCUCUCAAAUGAUCCCUCUCUGAAUAAUUUUCACCAGAUAUCUAUUUGAAUUUAGGGGUUGCCUCCGAGGGUUUUUCAGCUUCCGUGUCCCAGAACAAGGAAUUGGACAGAGACACGUGGCUAGUAGUAAGGAAGACAAGAAAAUGAAGAAAAGACACACACCCAAGAGAAGCAGCAGGCCAGAACACUGUCAUUGGGGGUGGGGUUGACGAGCUACACUUUCAGCUUGAAUGAUGGAGAAUUUUUGGUGCUGAAGAUCAAAUCCAGAGACUUGUACAGGCAUUGAGGCUUUUCGGCUUAGCCACAUCCUCAGCCCUUGUUUGAGAUAGGCUCUCCUAUAAUCCAGGUAUAAAUCCUCUAAAGCUCCGUGUCUGCUGGAACAUGGUCCAAGAAUGAAAUCCUGUGAGAAUUCUGGGUGCUUAGGAGAAAACUCUAAGACAAGACCAGAAUCUCAUGACCUUAUAGGGGAAUUUUAAUCCAACACCAUGGGUGCUCUGACAAGGGAUCACAUCCAAAGAUCUUCUAAGCCCACAGGAACUGGGCAGAAUACAGAAAAACCCUGGAAUACAGUAUGGUCUGGCUGGAAUACAGACACACCCUUAGUACACACCUCUAAUCCCUAACAUGAAGAUAAGGCAAGUUUGUAGAAGGAAGCAGCCUUGUUUGAAAGUGAUGUCUAAUUAAGGGACAAUGUGACGAACCAGAGAAAGAUUUGACAGAAUGAGUCAGAGAUAGGAUACAUCCAACUCACAGAACAGCAGAGGAAAGAGGCUACGAGAGAGAGAGAGACAGAGACACAGAGACUGAGACAGGGAGACAGGUGUGUGUGGAGAUUUUACCAGGAUGGUUUUACAGAAACAGGUUAGACACAAGUGAUGACAGAAGGAGCCAGAGAAUGAGAAGGAGCCAGAAGAUUAGAACAUGUUGCCAAAGUGAAGUAUAAAGCCAAGCAGAGCAAUUCAGUCAGAAACCAAGAGAAGACUGAAUCAGUCAGCUUGGAAGAUUAGAUUGUACGCAGAGGCUUGAAGCUUCCUAGCCUAGGCCUAGGGAUAGAACAGGCAAACACUCUGGGCUCAGCCCAAGCCCUGUAUUCACACAGCUUGGCUACAGCUCUCAUGUCAUCCCUUCAUCUGAAGAAAUGAGUGACAUUUACAUGACCUCAGCUUCCUCAAAACCCCUGAACUGGAAUGUGCUUAUGUGUGCCUCCCAGGUGUAGUGCAUUGAGUGAAUUUACUUCAGAUUAUUCAUUGCAACUGGCUGUUGGUAUUUAUUUAAAAGCCUCUAUGGGAAAAACACAUGUUCUUGCAUGGUGCUUGCCCUUGUGAUUGACUGUACACUUUGCUCAUGUGCCUCUUAAUCUUCAUAGUAUGAUGUCUGAAGACCGGAAUAAAGUUGUCUAUUGCGU